rnacentral:lncRNA from 1 species
GCAAGCAACCCAUCAGGAAAGUCUUCGGGGGAGGAGAGUGCUCUGCCCGACCUUUGUGAACGUGCCACCCUGCACACGUGGGAGAGAGUUUCUUU